GAUGAACGCUGGCGGCGUGCCUAAUACAUGCAAGUCGAGCGAACAGACGAGGAGCUUGCUCCUCUGACGUUAGCGGCGGACGGGUGAGUAACACGUGGAUAACCUACCUAUAAGACUGGGAUAACUUCGGGAAACCGGAGCUAAUACCGGAUAAUAUAUUGAACCGCAUGAUUCAAUAGUGAAGGACGGUUUUGCUGUCACUUAUAGAUGGAUCCGCGCCGCAUUAGCUAGUUGGUAAGGUAACGGCUUACCAAGGCAACGAUGCGUAGCCGACCUGAGAGGGUGAUCGGCCACACUGGAACUGAGACACGGUCCAGACUCCUACGGGAGGCAGCAGUAGGGAAUCUUCCGCAAUGGGCGAAAGCCUGACGGAGCAACGCCGCGUGAGUGAUGAAGGUCUUCGGAUCGUAAAACUCUGUUAUUAGGGAAGAACAAAUGUGUAAGUAACUAUGCACGUCUUGACGGUACCUAAUCAGAAAGCCACGGCUAACUACGUG
rnacentral:rRNA from 1 species